GAGGGCAUAGCUCAGUGGCAGAGUGCAUGCUUAGCAUGCACAAGGUCCGGGGUUCGAUCCCCAGUACCUCCA
rnacentral:tRNA from 1 species